rnacentral:rRNA from 1 species
AUUGAACGCUGGCGGCAGGCCUAACACAUGCAAGUCGAGCGGUAGCACAGAGAGCUUGCUCUCGGGUGACGAGCGGCGGACGGGUGAGUAAUGUCUGGGAAACUGCCUGAUGGAGGGGGAUAACUACUGGAAACGGUAGCUAAUACCGCAUAACGUCUUCGGACCAAAGUGGGGGACCUUCGGGCCUCAUGCCAUCAGAUGUGCCCAGAUGGGAUUAGCUAGUAGGUGGGGUAACGGCUCACCUAGGCGACGAUCCCUAGCUGGUCUGAGAGGAGGACCAGCCACACUGGAACUGAGACACGGUCCAGACUCCUACGGGAGGCAGCAGUGGGGAAUAUUGCACAAUGGGCGCAAGCCUGAUGCAGCCAUGCCGCGUGUAUGAAGAAGGCCUUCGGGUUGUAAAGUACUUUCAGCGGGGAGGGAGGGGAGAUGGUUAAUAACCAUUUUCAUUGACGUUACCCGCAGAAGAAGCACCGGCUAACUCCGUGCCAGCCGCCGCAGUAAAAC